rnacentral:rRNA from 1 species
CCCCUAGAUGUUCUGGGCCGCACGCGCGCUACACUGAACAGUUCAACAAGUCUUAACCUUGGCCGAUAGGUCUGGGUAAUCUUUGAACGCUGUUCGUGAUUGGGAUAGACCUUUGCAAUUAUGGGUCUUCAACGAGGAAUUCCUAGUAAGCGCAAGUCAUCAGCUUGCGUUGAUUACGUCCCUGCCCUUUGUACACACCGCCCGUCGCUACUACCGAUUGAAUGGUUUAGUGAGGCCUCGGGACUGGCGCACGGGGCGCUGGCAACAGCACCCUCGCGCCGGGAACUUGGUCAAACUUGAUCAUUUAGAGGAAGUAAAAGUCGUAACA